rnacentral:lncRNA from 1 species
CCCCUUUUUAUAGGCGGAGGAGGUAACGGAUUGAUGGCGACGUUUGUAACCGUCUGGUAGUGAGCCGCCCAUAGUCAGGAGGAAUUUAUUGCGAAGGGUAGUGGACCAGAAUCGUGGCCAUCGCCGUAGCUCGCCACGUGGAAUCAGUUGCGAGGAGUGGAGCAGCGUCCGUUGUCGUGACUUGCCAGCGGAUGGGAGAAUCGCCCGGUAUCCGUCGCAGGAAGUGGAGCA